CGAGCAUAAUGAUGAUAAAAAAGUCAAUUCCGAUUAUUUAUGAAGAAUAACCAACCUCCUACUCAUUCUGA
rnacentral:snoRNA from 1 species